rnacentral:rRNA from 1 species
UGGCCGUAAACGAUACUCGCUAGGUGUCGGCCACGGUGCGACCGUUGUCGGUGCCGUAGGGAAGCCGUGAAGCGAGCCACCUGGGAAGUACGGCCGCAAGGCUGAAACUUAAAGGAAUUGGCGGGGGAGCACAACAACGGGUGGAGCUUGCGGUUUAAUUGGAUUCAACGCCGGAAAUCUUACCGGGACCGACAGCAACAUGAAGGCCAAGCUGAAGACUUUGCCGGAUUAGCUGAGAGGAGGUGCAUGGCGUGUGACUGU